AAUUUUUUAAAACUAAAUUAUAGGCAUCUUUUUAUAACAAAAAAAAACCUAAAUCUCGAACCCUAGUCUUCACUCCAUCUGCAAUUUCACUCCAUCACAAUUUCACUCCUUCUGCAAUUUCGUGAAAUCAAUUUCUGACUACUCAAUUUUAAGAUUUCCCCUUCGCCUCUCUUCCACCGCAUCACCAAAUCUCAAACCCUAGUCGCUGCUUCUGCUGAAAGCUCGCGGCAAUUCGGAGGGGGACGCGCUCCACGCGAACCGCCGCUGCUCGAGUAGCAAGCACCAGCGGUCGGCGCCUCCGUCUCAAUCGCGAAUCGGGCCAAAUUCCGCAGUGAAUCGCGUCCUCCGCCUUCUCCGCAAUUCGGCGCCUCCGCCUAGGCCACGAUUCGCAGACACCACUACCUCUGCCGCCGCCGCCGCCCCGGUCUAUCUCUCCGCCGUGCUUGAGUACCCGCCGCUGAGGUUAAGUAGAUUUUAGAUUCGCAGCACAUCCCCUUUGAUUGCAUGCGUCGAGUUUUAUUAAAUUCAUUGAAUUCGAUUCUUUUUUAUGUUAUUUUUAUUUGAACUUUAAUUUGCUGAAAAAAUCAUCCACCGACGUCAAUUGAUUGUUGUAUUUGUUUGAUUAAUUGUAAAAGGGAAAAUUCAUCAAAAAUAAUCUUUUAACCUAUUGUUUUAAUUUUAAAUGCUAGAUUAUUGUUAUUUUCCUUUAUUUGUACUUUGGUUUUGGAUUUGAUUUUGCUCACAUAAUUUUGGAUAUUAGGAAAUGCUGAUUAAUUCAAUUUGCUGUUGUGAUUAGGUGUUGGAGCUUGCUGGAAAUUCUCCUAAAGACAACAAGAAGACAUGAUUGUUCUCCCAAACAUUCACCAAACUCUGUUGCCGAAAAAAGCUAGUGGUGGGGACAAGAAGAUUGGCUCUGCCUCGCAUGCAUGAAUUUUAGGGGGUUUUUGUUGUGAAUUAAAUGGUUUUUCGUUGAUGGAAUUGAGGCAUUCGAAAUCUCACAGAGCAGUGUUUCUAUGUGCCAUUUUGGUCAACCCACUUGAUAUGGCUAAGACAAGAUUACAGGCACAAGCAGCUGGAGUCCCCUACUCGGCUACUCCUAUCCAUUAAAUUAAAAAAAAAUGUUGCGCUAGUUCAUGGGAUUUCCAUGGGUGAAGGUGCAUCCUUAAUGGUCCCAAUGAAGUUCUCUGUUGUCACAGAGAAAAGUGGUUUUGCAACUCCGGAGGCAAGCAAUAUUGGCUUUCAUACUGAUUGUGAUUUUCAUACAUGCUAUCUCACCUUUCUUUGUGGAUUGAGUUGUACAUCUUGUAUUCUUGCAUCAUCUAACAUAACAUACUUGUGGGAUUCAGAAAGACCUCGAAACCAAGAUUGAGAAGUCGAGGAAGCAGAUAAAAGAAUGCAAAAACAGAGCAAAGAAAAUCUGUGGUGUCAAGAAGAUUUCAUUCCGCGUUUUGACAGAUGGAAGUUUGGAUGGAUGGAUUGCUUUUGACUUAAAGCUACUUUAGAGUAUCAUUUUUCGUUGAAAAUUGUAAAUGACUACUCUAGCUACUUAGAUACAUUACUUUUGUUAGCAAAGUAUUGGAUGGUUAAGUUAUUUGGAUAUAUUUGUAUUUUUUAUUAUGGAUGGAUGAAUUUAUUGGGAUGGUAUAAUGAUUGACUGAUUAAGUAUUUAUAUAAUAUAUGUUUUGGUUGUAGUA